GGGGGGGACGCAGUAGGAUAGGCGAAGCGUGCGAUUGGAUUGCACGUCUAAGCAGUAAGGCUGAGUAUUAGGCAAAUCCGGUACUCGUUAAGGCUGAGCUGUGAUGGGGAGAAGACAUUGUGUCUUCGAGUCGUUGAUUUCACACUGCCGAGAAAAGCCUCUAGAUAGAAAAUAGGUGCCCGUACCGCAAACCGACACAGGUAGUCAAGAUGAGAAUUCUAAGGUGAGCGAGCGAACUCUCGUUAAGGAACUCGGCAAAAUGACCCCGUAACUUCGGGAGAAGGGGUGCUCUUUAGGGUUAACGCCCAGAAGAGCCGCAGUGAAUAGGCCCAAGCGACUGUUUAUCAAAAACACAGGUCUCUGCUAAACCGUAAGGUGAUGUAUAGGGGCUGACGCCUGCCCGGUGCUGGAAGGUUAAGAGGAGUGGUUAGCUUCUGCGAAGCUACGAAUCGAAGCCCCAGUAAACGGCGGCCGUAACUAUAACGGUCCUAAGGUAGCGAAAUUCCUUGUCGGGUAAGUUCCGACCCGCACGAAAGGCGUAACGAUUUGGGCACUGUCUCAACGAGAGACUCGGUGAAAUCAUAGUACCUGUGAAGAUGCAGGUUACCCGCGACAGGACGGAAAGACCCCGUGGAGCUUUACUGUAGCCUGAUAUUGAAAUUCGGCACAGCUUGUACAGGAUAGGUAGGAGCCUUUGAAACGUGAGCGUUAGCUUACGUGGAGGCGCUGGUGGGAUACUACCCUAGCUGUGUUGGCUUUCUAACCCGCACCACUUAUCGUGGUGGGAGACAGUGUCAGGCGGGCAGUUUGACUGGGGCGGUCGCCUCCUAAAAGGUAACGGAGGCGCUCAAAGGUUCCCUCAGAAUGGUUGGAAAUCAUUCAUAGAGUGUAAAGGCAUAAGGGAGCUUGACUGCGAGACCUACAAGUCGAGCAGGGUCGAAAGACGGACUUAGUGAUCCGGUGGUUCCGCAUGGAAGGGCCAUCGCUCAACGGAUAAAAGCUACCCCGGGGAUAACAGGCUUAUCUCCCCCAAGAGUUCACAUCGACGGGGAGGUUUGGCACCUCGAUGUCGGCUCAUCGCAUCCUGGGGCUGUAGUCGGUCCCAAGGGUUGGGCUGUUCGCCCAUUAAAGCGGUACGCGAGCUGGGUUCAGAACGUCGUGAGACAGUUCGGUCCCUAUCCGUCGUGGGCGUAGGAAAUUUGAGAGGAGCUGUCCUUAGUACGAGAGGACCGGGAUGGACAUACCUCUGGUGUACCAGUUGUCGUGCCAACGGCAUAGCUGGGUAGCUAUGUGUGGACGGGAUAAGUGCUGAAAGCAUCUAAGCAUGAAGCCCCCCUCAAGAUGAGAUUUCCCAACUUCGGUUAUAAGAUCCCUCAAAGAUGAUGAGGUUAAUAGGUUCGAGGUGGAAGCAUGGUGACAUGUGGAGCUGACGAAUACUAAUCGAUCGAAGACUUAAUCAA
rnacentral:rRNA from 1 species